GGCAGUUCCUCGCAGAGGGGUCAGGGGCAGUGAGGCAGGCGAGGAGCAGGUGGCCAGGGGGCAGCAACUCCCUCGGGGUAGGGGUUAGUGCAAGAGGGGGGAGAUCACUAACCUGGACAAAGCGGGC